rnacentral:sRNA from 1 species
UGGCAGGCUCUCCUUCCGAUGAAUCGGAC